rnacentral:rRNA from 1 species
GUAAGGAAUAUUGCGCAAUGGGCGAAAGCCUGACGCAGCGACGCCGCGUGGGGGAUGAAGGUCUUCGGAUUGUAAACCCCUUUCGGGAGGGAAGAUGGAACGAGCAAUCGUUCGGACGGUACCUCCAGAAGCAGCCACGGCUAACUUCGUGCCAGCAGCCGCGGUAAUACGAAGGUGGCAAGCGUUAUUCGGAUUUACUGGGCGUACAGGGAGCGUAGGCGGUUCGGUAAGCCCUCUGUGAAAUCUCCAGGCUUAACCUGGAACAGUCGGAGGGGACUGCUGGGCUAGAGGACGGGAGAGGAGCGCGGAAUUCCCGGUGUAGCGGUGAAAUGCGUAGAGAUCGGGAGGAAGGCCGGUGGCGAAGGCGGCGCUCUGGAACGUUUCUGACGCUGAGGCUCGAAAGCGUGGGGAGCAAACAGGAUUAGAAACCCGAGUAGUCC